AGAAGUGACCAGAAGACUGGAGUGCGAGCCUUCUGUUAUGCCCGGGCAGGGCCACCAGAGGGCUCCUUGGUCUAGCGGUAACACCA
ensembl:miRNA